UUAUUAAGCAUUGCCCUGGCCUAAGACACCACAUGGGUCAUUUCUUCCAGGCUCCAACUUGCUUCUGCUUUGCCAUAUGGUAACACGCCGUAUUAUGGAAGCACCAUCAUUACCGCCAUUUGCAGGGGAAGCCUAAAGAGAUAAAUGCCAGCCAGCAUCCCUGUCUCUGGGGCCCUGGAGAGGCCUUCAACACACCUGGCCUCACUGCCCUGUGGCUUCAACAAAGAGGCCGAGCAUCUCCUAUAAACCUUGAGGUCCAUGGAUGACAUAGCGGAAUGAUGGAUUUCAGAAAAGCACACUGCUGUUACGACUCCAGAACCGAUAAGGAAGCUAUGUGUGGAAGUAUGAGCUCAGGUCGCCUUCUGACCCUCUGUGACGGUCUAUUUCAGGCAGUUAUGGAUAGAUAACAUUACAGACACUGGUAAUUAAAACAACACUAAUUUUGUCUCUGUGGUCACGCUUUGUUGUUAGAAGCCAUCUAUCAUGGCCUUCACGCAUCACGCAAUGAGAAGACAUUUGUCUACGUACAUUGUGCUUGGUCAACGGUUUUACGGAUUUCCCCGCGUACCUGGACACCCAGGCACUUUUAAAGACGUACUGCCUUCAUUUCUACUCUAUUACUCUGAUUAAUAAAACAUUUUGCAUGCUUCAUCAAAACACCCUGCAAGCUUUUCACCACAUAUAUUCAUGGGGGGGGAAGCAAUGUUAAUUUCUUUCCCUUUUAGAAAGAAACUAACAACAACAACAACAAAAGAAAUUCUCUUUUGGAUUGGAAGAGAGAAAGAAAAAUUCAAAUAUGGAAAUAUUUGUCUUCCCUGUAAAACAGAGUCCAGCCUAAUGAAAAGCAUAAUAUUAAAACACACACACAAUGCCAAGCAUCUCCUUUAAGGCUACACGUAUUUUUGACUAUAUGUAUCGUUAGUUCUUUUCUGUGCAUUCAUUUGCUUGAUUUAUGGACACUCAAUUUCACUUCACCUUUUAUUACAAGAUCUACAGUUACAUUAAGAGUAAUAGCAAGUCAAAUGUUUUUAUAUUUGGGCAAUUAAAAAAAAAGAAAAGAUCUAUUCCUUGGGCCCUUAUAAGAAAUUAGGGAUAGCUGAAAUGCAAGAUGACUAGUUUAGUUCUGUUGUAAUCAACUAAGAAGAAACUGUAAUGGUGCAUUUCAAGGGAUCUUUAACAAGUGACACAAACAAGAGAAGAAGCAGACAGGACCAUUUAACUUCAAACUCCACCGAAGAGAGCUGAAUUGUAAGCUUCCUACAGCAAGCCCGGCUGGCGGCUAUGUGGCAGUCUUCAUUUCUCAGCGGAAAAGCCACUCCCUUGAGACUCUCCAGGCACCCCCCAACCGCAUUUUUUAUCAAGUGUCUAAAAGACACAAUGAACAAAAACCAGAGCUUUUGAAUACAGAUUUCCAGUAAAACCAAACCCAGCUUGGGUCAGAUGCACCUUUCCAGCAACCACCAUCUCAGCAACAACCUGCCAGCUGUCAACUGGAAGUUCAGCUUCUGGGAACUUCAGCCCCCUUCUCAGAGGAGCAAGGUCCUAGCACCAACAGCACCUGCAGUGGAGCCCAAGUAUGGCUGCUUCAUGGAGAAGGUAUCUGUUUGCGUGCAAAUCCGUGAGUGCUUGCAUCUCGUGUAUUUGAAAAUCCUGUUUAAGAAUGCAGAGGUCCAUAUAGUGUCAUUAAAACAAAUGAGUAUAACCCUUUGGUCAUCUAGGUGAAAGCAUUUUGUUGGGUUUUUUUUUUUUCAAAUUGCUAUUGCUAUAUAUAAAUGUAACGUAUAGCAAUAACCGUAGAAAGAUACUGUGCCCUUGUGUAUGGAUAAUUAAAAUAGGAACAUCUCUGGACUAAAUUAAAAUGUGUAAAAACCAAAUCCUUAUAGCAUCCAUGAAAUUACAGAAGCUACAAGUGAAUCACUAGCCCAGGGACGAAGCAUUUCUCUCAUUACUUCAUGAACCUCUUCCAUGAUCACAGUUUUACAUUUUCACAAAUCUACAUGGUUCUUUUUAUGUCACUAAAUAUCUCAGCUCACUUUUACUGCCCUCCUUAUAGACAUGCGAGUUGGUAACAGCACGCAAACAGUCUCCAAUCAUUUAAGAGAAACCAACACUUUCAGUGCUUUUGAUGACACUUAUUACUACAAAUUAUGAACUAAAAAACUGAGCAGGAUAUAAGGAGAUAAAUUACAUCUUUAGAACAUAAAGGGGGAAAAAUGCAUAUUUUUCAGUACCAGAAAAUCAAAACCCAUGGGUCCUAAUCUAUGAAUUAAGAAGACCUGAAUACCUGAGAACGUGUACACAGAUUUUUGCCCUAACCCAUGACCUGCUUAACUGUGUAACUCCCCUCAACAGAAAGAUCCUGAUUUGCCCUUUUCUCCUCUGUACUUUGAACAUAAGAGGUGUUAUUACCCAUAACUUUUUAUUUAAAGGAAUUGUGCAGCUGGGAAAAUGAAUGAAUUUAAUUAUCAAUGCAGUGUGAAAAAAAUCAUUAGAGCAAGGGCCUGGAACGCCACAUAUUAAAAAUAAACAAAGGCUAUUAAAAAACAGUUCCAAAAAGGAACGUCAGUUUUUCUUCAAUUCUUAAAAUGUAAAUACCAAAAAGAAAACCAUAUGUAAACAUCUAUAGUUACAGAAGAAAUUACUCUUUAAGAAAAUGUUAAAUGACUGACUGGAUCAUUUAACUUUAAAUCUAUACUUUAUGUGGCAGUAUAGGAAGGUCAUUUGAUUGCCAUGCAUAGAAAAAUGAGAAUUCUAAUGUGUUCUCAAAGUUUCACCUUCAUAAGACAAAAUUUUCAUUAUGAAAUUGUAUUUAAUGGUGAGCACAUAGAACUUCUUCCUCAAUUGCAUGGGAUGACACUUCUGUCAGAGGCGUGUGAACCAGAGCAACUCCAUCUUGAAUGGGGGCUGGGUAAAAUGAUGCUGAGACCCACUGGGCUGCAUUCCCAGACUGUUAAGGCAUUCUAAGUCACAGGAUGAGAUAGGAGGCUGACACAAGACAUGGGUCGUAAAGACCUUGCUGAUAAAAACAGAUUGUAGUAAAGAAGACUGCUAAAACCCACCAAAACCAAGAUGGCCAUGACAGUGACCUCUGGUCAUCCUGACUGCUACUCUCCCACCAGCGCCAUGACAGUUUACAAAUGCCGUGGUAAUGUCAGGAAGUUACCCUCUAUGGUCUAAAAAGGGAAUAUAUGAAUAAUCCACACGUUGUUUAGCAUAUCAUCAAGAAAUAACCAUAAAAAUGGGCAACCAGCAGUGCUUGGGGAUGCUCUGUCUAUGGAGUAGCAAUUCUUUUAUUCCUUUACUUUCU
rnacentral:lncRNA from 10 species